rnacentral:rRNA from 1 species
GGCGAGUAGGCGCACGGGUGCGUAACGCGUUAGCACUCACCUUAUUACUGAGGGAACACCCGAGAUCGGGGCUAAUACCGCAUAACAUCAUGAAGUGGCAUCACUUUAUGAUCAAACCUCAGGGGUUAUAGAUGGGCAUGCGUGACAUUAGCUAGUUGGUGAGUAAACGGUCACCAGGCUACGAUGUCUAGGGGUCUGAAGGAUGAUCCCCCAAUGGUACUGAACCGGACCAGACUCCUACGGGAGGCAGCAGUCAAGGAAUAUUGGACAAUGGGCGCAAGCCUGAUCCAGCCAUGCCGCGUGCAGGAUGAAGGUGUUAUGCAUCGUAAACUGUUUUAUACAAGAAUAANACUCCUUCACGUGUGAAGGAUCGAAAUGUACUUGUAACGCAAUAAAGCAUCGGUAACACUCGUGCCCAAGCAGCCCGCGGAAAUACCGAAGGGAUGGCAAAGCGUUAUCCGGGAUACAUGGGGUUCAACAAGGGGUGGCCGUACGGCAGGGCCUUUAACAANAGGUACCAGCAGGGUUGGAAAAAGCCCCGGAAAGACNUNAAAACUCUUCGCGGAAACUAGCCCCAUCUGGAUAACUCGGAUACAANGU